AUUGAACGCUGGCGGCGUGCUUAACACAUGCAAGUCGAUCGGUAACAGGUGUAGCAAUACAUGCUGACGAGAGGCGGACGGGUGAGUAAUGCUUGGGAAUCUGCCUAUUAGUGGGGGACAACCCGGGGAAACUCGGGCUAAUACCGCAUACGCUCUACGGAGGAAAGCCGGGGACCGCAAGGCCUGGCGCUAAUAGAUGAGCCCAAGUCGGAUUAGCUAGUUGGUAGGUAACGCCUACCAAGGCGACAAUCCGUAGCUGGUCUGAGAGGACGACCAGCCACACCGGAACUGAGACACGGUCCGGACUCCUACGGGAGGCAGC
rnacentral:rRNA from 1 species